GGAGGGAUGGCCGAGUGGCUUAAGGCAUUGGUUUGCUAAAUCGACAUACAAUCUUCUUGUAUCAUGGGUCUCGUAAUCCCAUUUCUCCG